UACUCCUACGCGAGGCAGCAGUAGGGAAUCUUCCACAAUGGACGCAAGUCUGAUGGAGCAACGCCGCGUGAGUGAGGAAGGCUUUCGGGUCGUAAAACUCUGUUGUUGGAGAAGAAUGGUCGGCAGAGUAACUGUUGUCGGCGUGACGGUAUCCAACCAGAAGGCCACGGCUAACUACGUGCCAGCAGCCGCGGUAAUACGUAGGUGGCAAGCGUUAUCCGGAUUUAUUGGGCGUAAAGCGAGCGCAGGCGGUUUUUUAAGUCUGAUGUGAAAGCCCUCGGCUUAACCGAGGAAGUGCAUCGGAAACUGGGAAACUUGAGUGCAGAAGAGGACAGUGGAACUCCAUGUGUAGCGGUGAAAUGCGUAGAUAUAUGGAAGAACACCAGUGGCGAAGGCGGCUGUCUGGUCUGUAACUGACGCUGAGGCUCGAAAGCAUGGGUAGCGAACAGGAUUAGAUACCCUGGUAGUCCAUGCCGUAAACGAUGAAUGCUAGGUGUUGGAGGGUUUCCGCCCUUCAGUGCCGCAGCUAACGCAUUAAGCAUUCCGCCUGGGGAUUACGACCGCAAGGUUGAAACUCAAAUGAAUUGACGGA
rnacentral:rRNA from 1 species